rnacentral:rRNA from 1 species
GUAAGGAAUAUUGGUCAAUGGGGGCAACCCUGAACCAGCCAUGCCGCGUGAAGGAUGAAGGCGUUAUGCGUUGUAAACUUCUUUUGUAUGGGAAGAAUGACAGGGAUUCAUCCUUGGAGAGACGGUACCAUACGAAUAAGCACCGGCUAACUCCGUGCCAGCAGCCGCGGUAAUACGGAGGGUGCAAGCGUUAUCCGGAAUCACUGGGUUUAAAGGGUACGUAGGCGGUUAAUUAAGUCAGUAGUGAAAAACUGUCGCUCAACGACGGAUGUGCUAUUGAUACUGGUUAACUUGAAGCAGGUUAGAGUUGGCGGAAUGGGUCAUGUAGCGGUGAAAUGCUUAGAUAUGACUUGGAACACCGAUAGCGAGGGCAGCUGACUGAGCCUUGAUUGACGCUGAGGUACGAGAGUGUGGGUAGCGAACAGGAUUAGAAACCCGGGUAGUCC